UUUAAGACUAAGCCUGCAUGCCUUCGAUAUCUAGCAAGUCUCUCUGAAUCUGCGUUCGGCUCCGCACACUAGUUGCAAACCAUAGCUAGCAGGCCUCCGAGACGACCGCAAGGUCGUAACUGGGUCCCACAGGAUACCCAUGGCAAUUCUGACGAUAAUACUCCCCUGCCCCCCCUGGCUGACCGGUCAACUGGAAGGCUGGGGGACGUGUACCGCUUCGCACUCCCUUAUGGAAUGAACUCUUGUUAAGACCUACCUCUCCCACCUCAUCUUCGGUACUCUUUUUGGAGAUAACCCCUGCCUGACCGCCUCUUCCACGGUGCUUCUGACCUAUCAACUAGAUGGCAGCGUAACGGACAUGCUAUGGUGACAACGGGUACAGAGGAUAAGGGUUCGA
rnacentral:rRNA from 1 species